AGGUCCCUCAUCAAGGCUGAGCUUCAGACCCUACUGAAGCAGCAGCGCCUCAGCCAAGGCUGGCAGGAGAGCGCCCUUUGGGAGCUGCAGCAGGAGCCGUCCACACUGGCAAGGAACCGUCCCACUGGCAAGGAGCUGUCCACGCUGGCAAGGCCCUCAGAGGCCACUAGGAGCUGUUUGCUGGGCACCACUGAAACUGCGGGCUGGAAGCUCCUCUGGGUGUCCUGAGGGCCAGGCCAGUGAGUGCCGCAGGGGCAGAAGUCGUGGUAUCCUGAAGACUAGAGAUGAUUCAACAGCCGGUGACCCUCCCUCACUGGGACUCUCACCGGGCCCGACCUGUUUUCCGACGCCAAGGCACCGCUGCUGAAGCCAGACAACCCCAAGCACCCUCCCUAAGGCUCAGGGACCAUCGCGGAAGAGGAGGGCAGGGGACCCUCCUGACAAGGCACAAAGGAAAACCUGGAACGGCCCUGAAAGAGAAGGAAGGCUCAUGCGGGCACAGCAGGAGGUGCCAACAUCACAUCCUACACUCAAGAAGAACGUUUUCCAGCUGAAGGAGGCCUGGGGAUCUGCUGUCCCUAUCCGCAGGAAGCACCGCACAGCUGGAUAGGGAAGAAACAGGAUCUUUAAAGUCCUAGUCAGUCCCAAGGGCUGAGCCACCCCUGCAGCCCACCUCCCUCCCGACCUGCCCAGGGCUCACCCAGGUGGGGGCUUUGCUGCCACUAAACCUGGACCCAGAAGGACAGAGGGGAGGGGUAGAAACCAGCACGAGCUGCAUCCAGGGAAGCUGCAGUCUCCGUUUAUACAAAACUUCCUUCAAAACAGGAGGAAGGAGGAGCAGAUGCCGAAGGAGCGGUGAGGUGGUUGUCUGAGAAGAUGACCACAGCAGAUGGCAGACAGGAACAGCCCGCCCAAGAGGGCUGGAGUUCAAUGCUUGUCAAAGCCCCAGCUGGCUGGCCGGGUGCAGUGGCUCAUGCCUGUAAUCCUGGCACUCUGGGAGGCCAAGGUGGGAGGAUCCCCUGAGGCCAGGAGUUGGAGAUCAGCCUGGGCAACAUAGUAGACCCCCAUUCUAUAAAUAAAUAAAUAAAUAAAUAAAUAAAUAAAUAAGUUGGGUGUGGUGGCACGUGCCUGUUGUCCCAGCUACUUGGGAGGCUGAGGUGGGAGGAUCACUUGAGUCUGAGAGGGCAAGGCUUCAGUGAGCCAUGAUCGUGCCACUGCACUCUAUCCUGGGUGACAGAACAAGACCCUAUCUCAAAGAUAAAUGAAUAAAUAUAAGACCACCAGCCAUCACCCCAAACCACUGGGAGAAGAGGACAUGGUGCCGGGAGGGCCACGGGCGUGCCGAGGGCUGCAUGCCCAUCAGCACAUCAGCGAGGGAGUUUUUGAGGGAAGGUGGCUUGCAGCCAAAAUUCAAAAUGUGCCUCUCUUAUCUAGACGGGUGACAGAGGAUGCAAAACCACGUACAGCAGGGUGGCGGCCUGGCCAGGUGGGGCUUUGAGGCCUUUGAAAGUAACAAGCCAGCUCUGCACCUGCUAGCCCCCAAAAUACUCAGAAAUUAUCACAAAGAAAGAGGAGGGUGACGGUGCGGCAGCUCAUGCCUGUAAUCCCAGCAGUUUGGGAAGCUGAGGCAGAGGAUUACUUGAGCCCAGGAGUUUGAGACCAGCCAGAGCAACAUAGUGAGACCCCAUGUCUACAAAAUAAAAAUAAUAAACAAAUAAAUAAGAAUGAAAGAAGACAGAGACACAUGGCUGGCAUGUCCUGGGGAUGCCCACUGGUGCCUGUGUCCCGGGGAUGCCCGCUGGUGCCUGCUGUAGAGUGGAGAGUUGAACUGCACUGUGGCUUAUGCCCUUUGGAACCAGAGCAGGGAGAGGACUUCCUGUUACCCAGGGUCCUCCCAUGGAAUUGGAAUGUACAUCAAUUCUCUAUCUGGUCACCCCAAAAGAGAUGGGUGUCAUUGGCUCUCUGGACUCCUGGCUGCUCCCCUCCCCUCCAGGCGUAUGUGGCAUCCCACGGCCUGCUUUUCCUAAGGGAUCCAGAGGCCCAGCAUGGAGUCCCCAGCUGAGUCCACGAGGAGGAUGAAGGGAGGGGAGGCUGCCCAGGCCGGAACUCAAAGUCUAGGUCCCCUAACCCUGGACCCCCAGGCCCUGCUCACAGCUGGGCAGGAGCCCGUGGAGGGAACCACGGAGCUCAGAAGCCCACCCCCACCCUCUCCAGGGACUGUCCCGGCUGGCCCUGCCCUGUGUGGACCACCGCAAGCUGGAAGAAACCCAGGCUUUCCUGGGCACUGCAGGAGACUGGCUUGUAGGCCUGCUGGCAUUGGUGUGGAGGCAGUGGUAGCAUGACAGGCUUCAGUUUGCAGGAGGAGGGGUGAGGGCAGAGCCAUGGGCUCCGAGCACACCUGGGUCUGGGCCCAGCCACUACCAUGUGAAGAUGCCCAAAGACCCCAAGCUCAUAGCACCUCAGGUGACACCCUCAACCCUGAGCACACAUUCUCCACCCUGGGGCCGGUGUUCACAGCCGUGGGUGUGAAGCCACAUAGCAUCCCACUCCGCUGCAGGGUCACAGGGCAAAAUGCACUCAGCACAGCAGGCCUGCGUUGUCCUCAAGGAAACAUGCGCCUUACACCACAGAGACACAGCUGGCCUUUCCUUCCACCCCGUCCU
rnacentral:lncRNA from 1 species